rnacentral:rRNA from 1 species
UACGUAGGGUGCAAGCGUUAAUCGGAAUUACUGGGCGUAAAGCGUGCGCAGGUGGUGAUGUAAGACAGAUGUGAAAUCCCCGGGCUCAACCUGGGAACUGCAUUUGUGACUGCAUCGCUGGAGUACGGCAGAGGGGGAUGGAAUUCCGCGUGUAGCAGUGAAAUGCGUAGAUAUGCGGAGGAACACCGAUGGCGAAGGCAAUCCCCUGGGCCUGUACUGACGCUCAUGCACGAAAGCGUGGGGAGCAAACAGG